rnacentral:misc_RNA from 1 species
GAUGAAGAACGCAGCGAAAUGCGAUAAGUAGUGUGAAUUGCAGAAUUCAGUGAAUCAUCGAAUCUUUGAACGCACAUUGCGCCCCUCGGUAUUCCAUGGGGCAUGCCUGUUCGAGCGUCAUUUGUACCUUCAAGCUUUGCUUGGUGUUGGGUGUUUGUCUCGCCUUUGCGUGUAGACUCGCCUUAAAAUAAUUGGCAGCCGGCGUAUUGAUUUCGGAGCGCAGUACAUCUCGCGCUUUGCACUCAUAACGACAGCGUCCAAAAGUACAUUUUACACUCUUGACCUCGGAUCAGGUAGGGAUACCCGCUGAACUUAAGCAUAUCAAUAAGCGGAGGA